rnacentral:rRNA from 1 species
AUUGAACGCUGGCGGCAGGCCUAACACAUGCAAGUCGAACGCGUGGCGGACGGGUGAGUAAUGUCUGGGAAACUGCCUGAUGGAGGGGGAUAACUACUGGAAACGGUCUCUAAUACCGCAUUCCCGCAUGUGUGCCCAUAUGGGUUUAGCUUGUUGGUGGGGUAACGGCUCACCAAGGCGACGAUCCCUAGCUGGUCUGAGAGGAUGACCAGCCACACUGGAACUGAGACACGGUCCAGACUCCUACGGGAGGCAGCAGUGGGGAAUAUUGCACAAUGGGCGCAAGCCUGAUGCAGCCAUGCCGCGUGUAUGAAGAAGGCCUUCGGGUUGUAAAGUACUUUCAGCGGGGAGGCGUGACCCGCAGAAGAAGCACCGGCUAACUCCGUGCCAGCAGCCGCGGUAAUAC